CCUACGGGUGGCAGCAGUGAGGAAUAUUGGACAAUGGAGGCAACUCUGACCCAGCGAUGCCGCGUGAGUGAAGAAGGAUUUCGGAUUGUAAAGCUCUUUCGGAUGGGACGAUGAUGACGGUAGCAGCUAAAGAAGCCCCGGCUAACUUCGUGCCAGCAGCCGCGGUAAUACGAAGGGGGCAAGCGUUGUACGGAAUUACUGGGCGUAAAGGGAGCGUAGGCGGUUGAGUAAGUCAGGAGUGAAAUCCCAGGGCUUAACUUUGGAAUUGCCUUUGUAACUAUUAGACUAGAAUUAAAGAGAGGAUAGUGGAAUUCCCAGUGUAGAGGUGAAAUUCGUAGAUAUUGGGUAGAACACCAGUGGCGAAGGCGACUAUCUGGAUGUACAUUGACGCUGAGGCUCGAAAGCAUGGGGAUCAAACAGGAUUAGAUACCCUAGUAGUC
rnacentral:rRNA from 1 species